UAAACGAUACCAGACGAGGAAUAAGGGUCUUAUCUAGAGAAACGAUCAGUCAAUUUCGAAAAAAAUGUAUAUGCUUUAUAUAAACAAAUGAUCGCCUUCCAAGUGCUUCCACCAAAACCGCACUUUCGUAUUCUUCAAAAAGCUUACGCUGUAUGUCCUACGCCUUCCCUAUUCAACUUACGGAACGAACGCAGCGCCAGUUAAAUUUUUUCCGUAAGUUGAAUAGCACUUGGAAGGUGAUCAUUUGUUUAUAUAAAGCAUAUACAUUUACAUUUUUUUCGAAAAUGACCGAUCGUUUCGCUAGAUAAGACUCUUAUUCCUCGUCUGGUAUCGUUUAAAGCCCUUUGAAGCUGCACUGAAACUAUAAUUUUGACCUUCAACCGUUUGGAGUCCAUUGAAGUCCACUAUAAGGAGAAUAAUCCUGGAAUGUUUUCAUCAAAAACCUUAAUUUCUUUUCGACUGAAGAAAGAAAGAGAUGGACAUCUUGGAUGACAUGGGGUUGCCUACACAUACAUGGAUAUAGAGAUGAGCCAAAACAUUAGGACCACCUCCCUAAUAUCCUGUUGGUCCUCCGUGUGCUGCCAAAACAGUGCCGACCCGCUGAGGCAUGGACUUGUUGGUCCAGCACAUCCCACAGCUGCUCGCAUGGAUUGAGAUCUGGGGAGUUUGGAGGCCAGAGCAACACCUUGAACUCUUCAUCAUGUUGAGUGUGUGGUAGGGUGUAUUAUCCUGCUGAAAGAGGCCACUUCCACCAGUAAACACCACUGUCAUGAAGGUGUUUCCCAGCAGAACAUAGAGCAUCAUGAUCACACUCCCUCCAUCGGCUCCUCGUCAUCCCACAGGAGAGGCUACUCACUGCAGAGCCAUGGGUGGAGUAUAACCUCCAGCUCCCCCUCCCUCGACCUACUGUGGGCAUGAUGGGUGGAGCUGCAUCCUCCAAUUACACCCUACCCUACCCAUAACCCUAUCUCUCCAUCCAUUAAACAGUUGAAGCUCCACCUUCAUGCUCCAGAGAGGUGGAGUUGGAGGUCAUUUGGCUCUGCAGCGAGCACCACUUGUCCCACAGUGAUCCUGGUGCAUCACUUCCCCAGGUAAACGCCACACACAUCCAUGUGAUUUAAAAUAAAACGGGACUUAUCGAACCAGAUGACCUUCUACUGCUCCAAGUUCCAGUUCCGAUGCUCAUGAGCCCAUAGGUGCUUUCGACGGGGGACAGGGGUCAUCGUAGACACUCUGGGAUACACAACUCCAUACAGAGCAAAGUGUGAUGCAUUGUGUGUUGUGAUACAUUCAUCCCAUAACUAUCCCGUCUGGUCCGUGCCAACAGAAGCUAUACUGUGACGCAAGUCACAUAAAUUGUAAUGGGCAUUUGGACGUAAACCCGGGAGCGCUGCACUGUGCUUACUGUGUCAACUACGUAAGAGACUGCCAGGGGAGAGAAGAAAUUAUUCAACAAAGUUGUUAUUUUUGAUUUGUUUUUGGGUUAACUAACUCUUUAACUGUGUAAAUUUAUAAUUUCCUUUUCAUUAUUUUUUCAUUUAAAUUUGAAGUUAAAAUAAAUGUAUUUUAAAAUUUAGAAAUACAGCCUUGCUUUAUUAGGCAAUUGCGCAGUGAAAAUUACCCCAAAGUACCACCUACUGUCCAACCUUGGGAUAUUUUACUUUAAUAUAACAAUUUUUGUUUGGCAGCCAUUGCAGCCAGUCAUUUGACCGUUUUGUUUUUUUUCAUGAGAAAUUAUGCCAACUGUCCUUUUGUGCCAUCUGGUGGUGAUUGUGAAAAUUAUAUUCAGUCCAGCAUCACAAGAUGGCAGUGUUUGACCAUUCUUAUACUCUUAAAAACAGGUCAGUCACUUUGGAAGUUUUUUUUCCCACCUGAUUAUGAUAUAUAACACACAACUGUGACACAACAAAUUUAAAGCACAUAUAUUGAGUGUAAAAUGUUCAUUAAAAGACUUUCUAAAAAUGUCUUAGAAUAAUAGAUAAAAUCAACACAAUUUCUAUA